GUCGGGAUCGGUAUCGUAUCAGCGACCACCGGUGCAUGUUUCGUGUGAAUGGGUAUGGUGGUUAUACUCAUUGUGGCGACGUCCCUGAUUAUGCUUCAUCAAAUGAUGAUAGCCAUGAUGAAGCCAGCUCGUCCAGUGAUGACUUUGGAGUUAUUACUUCACCCUAUUACUCUGAUCUUUGGCAUUUUUUUUUGGCAUUUUGUUUGUUUCUCUUUCUCACGUGGCAUUUUGCGAGUACAUCCCUGAAUCCUGCAGUAGAAAAUGAGUAUUUUUAAAAUCAGCAAUUGUACAAGAAAUAUUUGAACUCAGAUAAAACAGGUGUUCAUUAAUCUCAGUUUGUAUCAUUAUUCAUUUUUAUUCACUAUUUUUUUUCAUCAGUUAUAUUCAUUUUGAAGCUCAUUACCUUCCCAUUCAUUUAUUCAUUUUUUAAUGUUUAGAUCAGUGUCAUUUAUGAAUAAAUCGAUGUUUUCAUUCUCCGUCCCUCAUUCUCCGUCAUUUUUUCCUCAGUUUAUCGCUUUUCUCAAUUUUAGUCUCAGUUCAGUUUAGUAUCAGUGUCAUUCUUCAGUUCUGAUAAGUGUCAUUUAUGAUUUAAUUGCUGUUUUAUUUGUUUAUCUCAUUCUCUGUUCCUCAUUCUCUGUCCCUCAUUACUUGUCACUUAUUCAUCAUUUAUUCACUUUUCUCAGUUUUAGUCUAACUUUUAUUCUUCGGUUUUUCUCAGUGUCAUUCUUCAGUCUCAAUUUAGUAUCAGUAUCGAUGUCCGGCUUAAGAUCAGUGUCAUUUAUGAUUUAAUCGCUCAUUCUCCGUCCCUCAGUUUCUCAUUCUCCGUCCCUCAGUUUUAGUCUCAGUUUUCUUUGUCCUUGUUUUGAGUUAAAUCACAUUUUUUCACCCCCGUCUCCGAUUUGUUGAUUCUUCAUUUAUUUCUCUGUUUCAUUUCUUGAGUUUUCCCUCAGUCUUUAUUUUCCAGUUUCAAUCUUUAUUCCUCGGUCUUCAGUCUUUAUUCCUCAGUCAUUUCUAGAUAAUUCUCUAUUUUUUAUCAGUCUCAGUUUAUUUCGUGGAGAGCCGCCAGGCAGGGAGUUGGAAGGGUGGACUCAAUUAAAGAGGCGGGAGGAGCUGGUGCUGUCGGUUGGCCAGGUACGUAGCUAAUUUCUCUGUUAUGUUGUUAUUUAAUUCACUCGCUGGUCAAGCAAAUUCUGCUGGGAUAGUUUGAUGAAGUAGUUUUCUAGAGUUAGAUGUCGCACAACACAAAGGUGAGAUGGGCUGUUUUAUUUGGCUGUAAGUGUAUCGGCUGGAAAUUCUGAUGAUUUGAUGAUUUACAGAACCUUGUCCAAAGAAAGAGGCUUGCGGCAGAUGGUUCACCAUUUUGUCAAAUGUGAAAGCUUCCUAUAGGCUCACUUGACUGGACCCAUGUGUGUGAUCAGCAGCACUACAUACAGCACCACAAACAUGCACCCAGACAUGAUGGAGCGAGGUGCGAAGGCUUGCCCAGCUGAACUGGGCUUUCCUUUUGAUGAAUCGUAUAAACUGAACAUGCAUUUUCCUAACUUGUUACAGUGUUGGGUACUAGGCUGUGAUAAGGGAAGCCAGAGAUCUCAGAAAACAUGUUGGCCUUGCAAGUAAACAGAUACCCCAGUAGUUGAUUAUCAGUUGCCUUCUUCCUAGGUUCUUUUCUCUAUACAGUAUUAUCAUGAUCAUGUGGCAAACAUAGCUAUAGAAACAUAAAUUUGGCGGCUUUUUAUCAGUCUUCCACAAAGCAUUGUAGGCUUGUUUUGAAUCAUUCUUAAACUGACAGGAAUAGCCACAGAAACCGAGAGGUGGUAGCAGCAUAGUAAGGAUGGUGACACAAUAGCAUCUCUUUCUUCAGUUCUACAUUCUAUUUAUAAUUGUUUUGUUUGCAGCACUACCUACUUGCUCCUCUAGAAUAGGAAGUUUUAUUUGGCCAUGUUGAUCCUAGGGUACUAUGCUAUGAGAAGGACAAGCGGGAAAGAUGCCAAGGAAUGCGCUGGUCAGCACAAUCUAUUGGGAGAGAAUGAGAGAUACAUGAUUGUUCAAGAUACAAGCAGUGUCUGUAAUGUAGUAGGGGGGAGAGGGAGAAGUGAUCACUUGCCUGUCCCAAGAGUGU